UACGUAGGGUGCGAGCGUUGUCCGGAAUUAUUGGGCGUAAAGAGCUUGUAGGCGGUUUGUCGCGUCUGCUGUGAAAAUCCGGGGCUCAACUCCGGACUUGCAGUGGGUACGGGCAGACUAGAGUGUGGUAGGGGAGACUGGAAUUCCUGGUGUAGCGGUGAAAUGCGCAGAUAUCAGGAGGAACACCGGUGGCGAAGGCGGGUCUCUGGGCCGAUACUGACGCUGAGGAGCGAAAGCGUGGGGAGCGAACAGG
rnacentral:rRNA from 1 species